AUUGAACGCUGGCGGCAUGCUUUACACAUGCAAGUCGAACGGCAGCACGGGCUUCGGCCUGGUGGCGAGUGGCGAACGGGUGAGUAAUAUAUCGGAACGUACCCAGAAGUGGGGGAUAACGUAGCGAAAGUUACGCUAAUACCGCAUACGAUCUAUGGAUGAAAGCAGGGGACCGCAAGGCCUUGUGCUCCUGGAGCGGCCGAUAUCUGAUUAGCUAGUUGGUGAGGUAAAGGCUCACCAAGGCGACGAUCAGUAGCUGGUCUGAGAGGACGACCAGCCACACUGGAACUGAGACACGGUCCAGACUCCUACGGGAGGCAGCAGUGGGGAAUUUUGGACAAUGGGCGCAAGCCUGAUCCAGCAAUGCCGCGUGAGUGAAGAAGGCCUUCGGGUUGUAAAGCUCCUUUGUCAGGGAAGAAACGGUAGAGGCUAAUAUCCUUUGCUAAUGACGGUACCUGAAGAAUAAGCACCGGCUAACUACGUG
rnacentral:rRNA from 1 species